rnacentral:sRNA from 1 species
CUAAAGAAAACCACCUUAUUCAUGAAAUUCCUACAACUGUUGCGGCUGUUAAAAACCCUUCUUCUAAAAUUAUAUAUGAUGAACACAACCAUGAGCGAUUUGCUCCUGGUGAUGGUUUUGUCCAUGCCAUGGUUCCCAUUACGAUAUUUCUGGCAGAAUUAGGAAGGGACUGACACUAUACAAUCUAGAGGUGAUUUCUCCUAAAAGUAUAAGCAGUGUUGUUCUUGAUGCAUCAGAGGCAUGCAAGCUACUGAGUGUGGUUGCAAUUGCUUUGUCAAAUUGUUCAAGAUGUUGCAAUUUGGCUGCAAAGAAGGGAUGAAACACUUGUUCUGUAAAAGGAUGGGAAGGAUUUAACUAGCUUCAACUACUUUCCAAAAUGUCACAGGUUUUUCAGAGCCCAAAUCAGAUGGGUCUUUUUGAAGAGAAUCAUAUAUCACUGUACUUUCCCUAUAAUAAUGGAAAUGAG